AUUGAACGCUGGCGGCAUGCCUUACACAUGCAAGUCGAACGGUAACGGGCCUUCGGGUGCCGACGAGUGGCGAACGGGUGAGUAAUGUAUCGGAACGUACCUUUCAGUGGGGGAUAACGUAGCGAAAGUUACGCUAAUACCGCAUAUUCUGUGCGCAGGAAAGCAGGGGAUCGCAAGACCUUGCGCUGAUUGAGCGGCCGAUAUAAGAUUAGCUAGUUGGUGAGGUAAAGGCUCACCAAGGCGACGAUCUGGAGCGGGUCUGAGAGGAUGAUCCGCCACACUGGAACUGAGACACGGUCCAGACUCCUACGGGAGGCAGCAGUGGGGAAUUUUGGACAAUGGGGGCAACCCUGAUCCAGCCAUGCCGCGUGAGUGAAGAAGGCCUUCGGGUUGUAAAGCUCUUUCGGCCGGGAAGAAAUCGUAUCAGCUAAUACCUGGUGCGGAUGACGGUACCGGCAUAAGAAGCACCGGCUAACUACGUGCCAGCAGCCGCCGUAACAC
rnacentral:rRNA from 1 species